UACGGAGGGUGCAAGCGUUAUCCGGAUUCACUGGGUUUAAAGGGUGCGUAGGCGGGCAGGUAAGUCCGUGGUGAAAUCUCUGAGCUUAACUCAGAAACUGCCAUGGAUACUAUUUGUCUUGAAUAUUGUGGAGGUAAGCGGAAUAUGUCAUGUAGCGGUGAAAUGCUUAGAUAUGACAUAGAACACCAAUUGCGAAGGCAGCUGGCUACACGAGCAUUGACACUCAGGCACGAAAGCGUGGGGAUCAAACAGG
rnacentral:rRNA from 1 species